GCUGGACCUAGCGAUGAGUACCUUUAACCCCAGCACUUGGGAGGCAGAGGCAGGUGGAUCUAGUGCCUGGCCUGGUUUACAUAAUGAGUUCCAGGAAAGCCAGGGCUCCAUGGUGAGACCUCAGAAACAGAUUAAAAAAAAAAAAAAAAAAAAAAAAAGGUGGACUAGAGUCUGAGGAUCAAGCCCAAGCUUGACCCGUGCCUCCACGUGCAUAGGUACUCCAGAACAUACGCAGAGACACAUCAACAAAACAAAACCAAAACACUACAAAAAGAAAAGUGGGGCUCAAAAAUAUGGGCACACGGUAGGUGCUCUGCCAUCCCAGGACCCAGCCAGCUCCACUGAGCGGUUAUGACAUUGCUGUGUGCCGCCCUGUGGGUGCUUGCUCAUCUCUCGGUGUGUGACUUGGAGGCUAGGACCAGGGUAGGUGUGAAUGACUAGGGAGAAGUCAAGAAGGACGGGGUGGCCACACACCGAGUGUGGAAAUGAUUAACACUGGACCAAAUGAUCCCUCACGCUCGGGACAAUACUAACCCUGACACGACCCCCCCUCCGCCCCCUGCCCCGUGGCACUGUUUCCUUACACCAUCACAGCAGUUCCAUGGAGACACGACAUCUCACAGGUGAAGUAAAAUGUUCAGAGAAGGGCAGCCACUUUUCCAGGUCACACAGCAAGUAGAGGGCAGAAUAAGGAUCUUGAUGCCUGUCUGCCUGAAUUCAAACCCUUUGCUCUGGCUUCAGAACUAUCAGGGUGUUGAUUUCAACCACUCCGGUGUUAGAAAGCUGCGGGCAGGUACUUCAGGGGACUUGGCUUUUUUCUUUCUUUCUUUCUUUCUUUCUUUCUUUUUAACAUGUAUUUAUUGGUGGGUGGCGGGUGGGACAUGGCAUUAUACACAUAUCAGAGGAUGAUAGCUUGUGGGAGUCAUGUCUCUCCUCUACCUACCCUGCUGGUCCUGGGGAUCGAACUCAGGUUGUCAGGCUUGGCUGCAAGUUCCUGUACCUACUGAGCCGUUGCACCAACCCAUUUUGUUAUUUUUGAGUCAAGAUCUCAUGUGACUGAGGCUGGCCUUGAACUCCUAAUCCUGCUUCUACCUUAUAAGUGUUGGGAAAAUAGGUGAGGCUAGCACCCCCCCCCCCAAUUUAGCUGAGGCUAUUCCCAAACUCAAUUUCUUCCUGCCUUCUUCCACUAAUUUUGUUUUUGUUUGGUUGUUUUGAGACCAGGUUUUAGUAUAUAUCCCUAGCUGUCCUGGAGCUCACUAUGUAGACUAGAUUAUACUGGUCUUGAACUCACAGAGAUCCUCCUGCCUCCACCUCCCGAGUCCAUCUGCUUCCUGAGUCCACCAGCCUCCUGAGUUGUGAGACUAUACGGAGAAGCAUAUGCCACCAGACCCCUCUACAGUUGGGGAAACGGAGACUGGGGACAGGGCAGGUGCCUCCCGCAGCAAAAUUUGAAGUGUUUGGAAAGAAAUGGCAGCUGCUGUCUUCGUUUACCAUUUAUUACAAAGUAUGAGGGUGGAUUGGUGAGCAGCACCCUGUACCCUCUUCUGGCACAGUCUCUGCAAUCAGGAGGAAACGGCAUCUUCCCAGGUGUCCACCAGGGGGCAGCACCUCCCGUCGCUCGGACCUGGUUCCUUCAGCGAGACCCGCCCGCGGUUAACUGAAGCUUCCUAGCAUCCUAGACCCCAGGCACCUCCUCCUCCAACAGAGAUUAAGGGGUCCUGAACAGCAGCACAGCAGAAAGGGCUUCUGAUGAGGGCAUAUGUGUAGUGGUGGCCAUGUUCCCAUUGACGUGGGAGGUCCAAUUCAGUGUCCACUCAUGGCUGCCACCACCAGAGUCCAUGCACCUCAACGUGGAUCCACUUGGGUCCUGGCAUCUUGAGGUGAUUUAUCGUGGGGCUUGGUCGGAAUUGGCAGGGAGCAUGUCCUUGAGCUCGGUCCUUGGGUACUUAGCCUGGUUCUUCUGUGAGUUCUGAGAAGAUGGUAGAUUGGUAAAUGGCUAGAAAACACAGGAGCAGGGAUGCCAGAGGUGGAGGUUGGCAGAAGCCAGAGAAUGUCUAGAGGUGGAAAGAGAGAAGGGUGUCAAAGCCCAGGAGAGGAGAGUACAGGUGUGCACGGGGACAGAGACCAAUCAAAAGCAGGAGAGGGCUGGGAAGCCAGAAGCCACAAGUUAGGGAAUAUGACUCAAGAGUAAAGCCCCUGCUUAGAAUCCCCCAGUGAGGCGCUUGGGGCAUGGCUCAGUAAGAGAGCCCCUGCUUACAAUACACAAGACCCUAGAUUCCAUCUCCAGUCCUUUGGCCACGCCCCUUCGCACAAAAGAGUGAGAAAUGAGGCUGACAAGUGAAAAAGGAAUCACUCCCCUUUUUUUCCAGUCCAGCCCUAAACUCAGAGUUCUAAGAGGUGGGGGACAGCUUAAGAGAAAAGGUGGCCUUAUCUAUAGGCAACAGCCACAUCAGGCACUGGCCUGUCUCUUCCUCGGGAUUUUUCCUGUCCCUGUCCCUGCCCACUCACCAUGUGGAGCUAUGUGGCCUCCUGACUGGGUUCUGGUAGCUGCUGUUGCUGCAGAGCAGUGCCGAGCAGCUCUGUCAGGGCAUCCAGCUUUCCUGCCAGACCGUCGAUUCUCUUCUCCAGGGCACGGUGCGAGGAGCUGAGACCCAGCUGCAGGUCGCACAGGAUCAUGUGCAUCUGGGUGGGAGGGGAACAUGAGUGAGGGCCUAGAAGAGCCCUGUCUGCUCUACAGAGUGGGAUAGCAGAGCACUGCCGAGCCCUCUCUGGUCCUGGAGGACUGUUCUUUUUUAGGGGGUGGGGAGUGGAGCAAAGUCUCUUGUAGCCCAAGCUGGAACUGAAUUUACUGUGUUACUGGAGGUACAGGCAGAUGAAAGCUGCUGUUUGGGAGCUGGGAACCCAACCUGGGUCAUUCAUUGGCAAGAGCAGGAGGUGGUCUUAACUGCUGAGUCAUCUCUUUAUCCCUAAUUAGCUUGAAUUCCUGAUCUUCUUGCCUCUGCCUCCCAAAUGCUGGGUUUACAGGCAUGUACUGCCAUGCCUGGUUUUUGCAGGGCUGGGGAUUGAACCGGCGGCUUCAUGCACACCAGGCAAGUACGUAUCCCCACCCUUGUCUGUGAGCUUGGUGUGGGGAACCUUCGAUUUCUGUGCUCAGGUCCUAUAACUUUCAUCCAUAGUGGCCCACCUAUUCUGGCUGACUCGAACCACCCUGUUUUCGGAGACGUGUCAUGUAAUCUGGGGACCUGUGUCUGUGACUGUGUUUACCGUGGCCUUAGUGCCAAGGGUGGCUGUUUGAAUUGUGCUGGGCUAACAAGAAAAGGCCACACAUAAAGAAGGGCUCGCCUGAGGCAGGCCAAAGGAGCAUGACGUCACCAUCGAUGGUGGAGGCGAAGGCUCUGAGCCUUCGCAGCAAGGGGACCUCUCUGCCCUUGGGCACCCGAUUCACAACAGUGUCAGGAACUGGCUUUUGCUGAAACAAUAUCAUCACCUGUCACGGUGUCCCUUAAUUUAUUUUUUUAAGUUGGGUUUGUUGAUGGUAUUUGAGCUGCUUUGUAAGUUUGCCCGGUUUUAUUUGCAUAAGAGUCGCACCUGGAAGGAAAUUUGUAUCCGUCCACAUGUAAGUAAUAAAGAUGAUUCG
rnacentral:lncRNA from 1 species